AUGGCUCAGAACGAACGCUGGUGGCGUGUCUUAUACAUGCAAGUCGAGCGAGGCAGCAAUGCCGAGCGGCGAACGGGUGAGUAACGCGUAAGCAAUCUGCCCCAUAUCAGGAAAUACCCGUGCCAACGCGCGGUUAAUGUCCAGGAGAGUGGCCCCCUGCAUGGAGGGUUGACUAGAGAUUCAUCGGUAUGGGAUGAGCUUGCGUCCGAUUAGCUAGUUGGCGGGGCAACGGCCCACCAAGGCGACGAUCGGUAGCCGGCCUGAGAGGGUGAUCGGCCACAUUGGGACUGAGAUACGGCCCAGACUCCUACGGGAGGCAGCAGUAGGGAAUAUUGCACAAUGGGGGAAACCCUGAUGCAGCAACGCCAACGUGUGGGAAGAAGCAUUUCGGUGUGUAAACCACUGUCAUGAGGGAAUAAGGCCCGCCUCCGGACGGGAUUGAAUGUACCUUGAGAGGAAGCACCGGCAAACUUCGUGCCAGCCGCCGC
rnacentral:rRNA from 1 species